AUGCAAGUCGAACGAGAAUCUGCUGAAGGAGGAUUCGUCCAACGGAAGCAGAGGAAAGUGGCGGACGGGUGAGUAACGCGUGAGGAACCUGCCUUGAAGAGGGGGACAACAGUUGGAAACGACUGCUAAUACCGCAUGACGCAUAGAGGUCGCAUGAUCUUUAUGCCAAAGAUUUAUCGCUUCAAGAUGGCCUCGCGUCUGAUUAGCUGGUUGGCGGGGUAACGGCCCACCAAGGCGACGAUCAGUAGCCGGACUGAGAGGUUGAACGGCCACAUUGGGACUGAGAUACGGCCCAGACUCCUACGGGAGGCAGCAGUGGGGAAUAUUGGGCAAUGGGCGCAAGCCUGACCCAGCAACGCCGCGUGAAGGAAGAAGGCUUUCGGGUUGUAAACUUCUUUUAAGAGGGAAGAGUAGAAGACGGUACCUCUAGAAUAAGCCACGGCUAACUACGUGCCAGCAGCCGCGGUAAUACGUAGGUGGCAAGCGUUGUCCGGAUUUACUGGGUGUAAAGGGCGUGCAGCCGGGUCUGCAAGUCAGAUGUGAAAUCCAUGGGCUCAACCCAUGAACUGCAUUUGAAACUGUGGAUCUUGAGUGUCGGAGGGGCAAUCGGAAUUCCUAGUGUAGCGGUGAAAUGCGUA
rnacentral:rRNA from 1 species